UAGGGAAUAUUGGGCAAUGGAGGCAACUCUGACCCAGCCAUGCCGCGUGCAGGAAGAAGGCGCUCAGCGUUGUAAACUGCUUUUAUCGGGGAAGAAACGACCCUUGCGAGGGGCAUUGACGGUACCCGAUGAAUAAGCACCGGCUAACUCCGUGCCAGCAGCCGCGGUAAUACGGAGGGUGCAAGCGUUGUCCGGAUUUAUUGGGUUUAAAGGGUGCGCAGGCGGGAAGGUUAGUUCGUUGUUAAAGACGAUCGCUCAACGAUUGCAGUGCCAUGAAUACUGCCUUUCUUGAAUCUGGUUGAGGCCGGUGGAAUUGACCGUGUAGCGGUGAAAUGCAUAGAUAUGGUCAAGAACUCCAAUUGCGAAGGCAGCCGGCUGGGCCAGUAUUGACGCUCAGGCACGAGAGUGCGGGGAUCAAACA
rnacentral:rRNA from 1 species